rnacentral:rRNA from 1 species
UGAGGAAUAUUGGUCAAUGGACGAGAGUCUGAACCAGCCAAGUAGCGUGCAGGAUGACGGCCCUAUGGGUUGUAAACUGCUUUUGUACGGGGAUAAAGUGAGCCACGUGUGGUUUAUUGCAGGUACCGUACGAAUAAGGACCGGCUAAUUCCGUGCCAGCAGCCGCGGUAAUACGGAAGGUCCGGGCGUUAUCCGGAUUCAUUGGGUUUAAAGGGAGCGUAGGCCGCCCCUUAAGCGUGUUGUGAAAUGCCGCGGCUCAACCGUGGCACUGCAGCGCGAACUGGGGGGCUUGAGUGCGCGCAGCGAAGGCGGAAUUCGUGGUGUAGCGGUGAAAUGCUUAGAUAUCACGA